rnacentral:rRNA from 1 species
CGGACGGGUGAGUAACACGUAAGCAACCUGCCUAUUAGAGGGGAAUAACAGUGAGAAAUCAUUGCUAAUACCGCAUAUGCUAACAGUAUCGCAUGAUACAGUUAGGAAAGGAGCAAUCCGCUAAUAGAUGGGCUUGCGCCUGAUUAGCUAGUUGGUGGGGCAACGGCCUACCAAGGCAACGAUCAGUAGCCGGACUGAGAGGUUGAACGGCCACAUUGGGACUGAGAUACGGCCCAGACUCCUACGGGAGGCAGCAGUCGGGAAUAUUGCGCAAUGGAGGAAACUCUGACGCAGUGACGCCGCGUAUAGGAAGAAGGUUUUCGGAUUGUAAACUAUUGUCGUUAGGGAAGAUACAAGACAGUACCUAAGGAGGAAGCCCCGGCUAACUAUGUGCCAGCAGCCGCGGUAAUACAUAGGGGGCAAGCGUUAUCCGGAAUUACUGGGUGUAAAGGGAGCGUAGACGGCGAGGCAAGUCUUGAAGUGAAAGCCCUGUGCUUAACGCAGGGACUGCUUUGGAAACUGUUUGGCUGGAGUGCCGGAGAGGUAAGCGGAAUUCCUAGUGUAGCGGUGAAAUGCGUAGAUAUUAGGAAGAACACCAGUGGCGAAGGCGGCUUACUGGACGGUAACUGACGUUGAGGCUCGAAAGCGUGGGGAGCAAACAGGAUUAGAUACCCUGGUAGUCCACGCGGUAAACGAUGAUUGCUAGGUGUAGGUGGGUAUGGACCCAUCGGUGCCGCAGCUAACGCAGUAAGCAAUCCACCUGGGGAGUACGUUCGCAAGAAUGAAACUCAAAGGAAUUGACGGGGACCCGCACAAGCGGUGGAGCAUGUGGUUUAAUUCGAAGCAACGCGAAGAACCUUACCAAGUCUUGACAUCUGGAUGACAGAGCAUGUAAAGUGCUUUCUCUUCGGAGCAUCCAAGACAGGUGGUGCAUGGGUUGUCGUCAGCUCGUGUCGUGAGAUGUUGGGUUAAGUCCCGCGACGAGCGCAACCCCUAUUGCUAGUUACCAGCACGUAAAGGUGGGAACUCUAGCGAGACUGCCGGUGAUAAAUCGGAGGAAGGUGGGGAUGACGUCAAAUCAUCAUGCCCUUUAUGUCCUGGGCUACACACGUACUACAAUGGCCAUUACAGAGGGAAGCAAUAUAGUGAUAUGGAGCAAAACCCUAAAAGUGGUCUCAGUUCGGAUUGAAGACUGAAAUUCGUCUUCAUGAAGCCGGAAUUGCUAGUAAUGGCAGGUCAGCAUACUGCCGUGAAUACGUUCCCGGGCCUUGUACACACCGCCCGUCACACCAUGAGAGUUGGAAAUACCCGAAGCCUGUGAGCUAACAAUCGAGGCAGCAGUCGAAGGUAGAGCCAAUGAUUGGGGUGAAGUCGUAACAAGGUAG